rnacentral:rRNA from 1 species
GAGUUUGAUCCUGGCUCAGAAUCAACGCUGGCGGCGCGCUUAACACAUGCAAGUCGCACGAGAAAGGGGCAACCUGAGUAAAGUGGCGUACGGGUGAGUAACACGUGGGUAAUCUACCUCUUAGUGGGGAAUAACCUGGGGAAACCCGGGCUAAUACCGCAUAAGCUCGAGAGAGGAAAGCAGCAAUGCGCUGAGAGAGGAGCCCGCGGCCGAUUAGCUAGUUGGCAGGGUAAGAGCCUACCAAGGCAGAGAUCGGUAGCCGGCCUGAGAGGGCACACGGCCACACUGGCACUGAAACACGGGCCAGACUCCUACGGGAGGCAGCAGUGGGGAAUCUUGCACAAUGGGGGAAACCCUGAUGCAGCGACGCNGCGUGAGCGAUGAAGCCCUUCGGGGUGUAAAGCUCUUUCGGCAGGGACG